GAUGAAGAACGUAGCAAAAUGCGAUACUUGGUGUGAAUUGCAGAAUCCCGUGAACCAUCGAGUUUUUGAACGCAAGUUGCGCCCGAAGCCUUUUGGCCGAGGGCACGUCUGCCUGGGCGUCACGCAUCGCGUCGCCCCCCCACAAUUCUCCGUAAAGGGAACAUGUGUUUUGGGGGCGGAUAUUGGUCUCCCGUGCUCAUGGCGUGGUUGGCCGAAAUAGGAGUCCUUUCGAUGGACGCACGAACUAGUGGUGGUCGUAAAAACCCUCGUCUUUUGUUUCGUGCUGUUGCUCGCAAGGUAAACUCUUUAAAAUCCCCAAUGCGUCGUCUCUUGACGACGCUUCGACCGCGACCCCAGGUCAGGCGGGACUACCCGCUGAGUUUAAGCAUAUCAAUAAGCGGAGGA
rnacentral:misc_RNA from 1 species